CUCUCGAAUACUUCGGCGGUCUCCGGAAGGAUUGCUGCUGACCACUGCUCUCCGCCGCUGGUCUUUUUCCUUUACUGCGCUCAAUCACAUCCCGUUCCUUCAUAAUUUCUGCCCCCUUCUCAACUAUUAAUGCCCGGUUCACUACCUCCUUGUAAGUAGAAAGGUUUGACGCCUGGACCAAUCUAAAAAUCGUAGGUCGCAAACCCACCUCAAAUAUACGGGCCUUAUCCUCAUCAUCCCUAACCACAAAAGGAACACAGUGUAGUAAUCGGGAGAACUCUCGCUCAUACUCAGCCACUGUCUU
rnacentral:lncRNA from 1 species